UACGUAGGGGGCAAGCGUUGUCCGGAAUCAUUGGGCGUAAAGAGCGCGUAGGCGGCCCUGUAAGUCCGCUGUGAAAGUCAAGGGCUCAACCCUUGAAUGCCGGUGGAUACUGCAGGGCUAGAGUCCGGAAGAGGCGAGUGGAAUUCCUGGUGUAGCGGUGAAAUGCGCAGAUAUCAGGAGGAACACCGAUGGCGAAGGCAGCUCGCUGGGACGGUACUGACGCUGAGGCGCGAAAGCAUGGGUAGCGAACAGG
rnacentral:rRNA from 1 species